CCUGGACUUGACAUAGUAAGAAUGAUUUAGAGAUAGAUUAGUGUCUGCUUGCAGAAACUUGCAUACAGGUGCUGCACGGCUGUCGUCAGCUCGUGUCGUGAGAUGUUGGGUUAAGUCCCGCAACGAGCGCAACCCUCGUCCUUAGUUGCUAACAGUUCGGCUGAGAACUCUAAGGAGACUGCCUACGCAAGUAGGAGGAAGGUGAGGAUGACGUCAAGUCAUCAUGGCCCUUACGUCCAGGGCUACACACGUGCUACAAUGGGGUAUACAAAGAGCAGCAAUACGGUGACGUGGAGCAAAUCUCAAAAAUGCCUCCCAGUUCGGAUUGUAGUCUGCAACUCGACUACAUGAAGUUGGAAUCGCUAGUAAUCGUAGAUCAGCUAUGCUACGGUGAAUACGUC
rnacentral:rRNA from 2 species